rnacentral:rRNA from 1 species
GUUGUAUGGUUAAGUGACUAAGCGUACACGGUGGAUGCCUGGGCAGUCAGAGGCGAUGAAGGACGUACUAACUUGCGAUAAGCGCAGAUGAGGCAGUAAGAGCCGUUUGAGUCUGCGAUUUCCGAAUGGGGAAACCCAACUGCAUAAGCAGUUACUGUUAACUGAAUACAUAGGUUAACAGAGCAAACCGGGGGAACUGAAACAUCUAAGUACCCCGAGGAGAAGAAAUCAACCGAGAUUCCGGUAGUAGCGGCGAGCGAACCUGGAUUAGCCCUUAAGCACUCGAUGAAGUAGGUGAACAAGCUGGAAAGCUUGGCGAUACAGGGUGAUAGCCCCGUAACCGACGCUUCAUCGAGCGUGAAAUCGAGUAGGGCGGGACACGUGAUAUCCUGUCUGAAUAUGGGGGGACCAUCCUCCAAGGCUAAAUACUCCUGACUGACCGAUAGUGAACCAGUACCGUGAGGGAAAGGCGAAAAGAACCCCUGUGAGGGGAGUGAAAUAGAACCUGAAACCGUGUACGUACAAGCAGUAGGAGCACCUUCGUGGUGUGACUGCGUACCUUUUGUAUAAUGGGUCAGCGACUUAUAUUCAGUGGCAAGGUUAACCGUAUAGGGGAGCCGUAGCGAAAGCGAGUCUUAACUGGGCGCUCAGUCUCUGGAUAUAGACCCGAAACCGGGUGAUCUAGCCAUGGGCAGGUUGAAGGUUGAGUAACAUCAACUGGAGGACCGAACCGACUAAUGUUGAAAAAUUAGCGGAUGACUUGUGGCUAGGGGUGAAAGGCCAAUCAAACUCGGAGAUAGCUGGUUCUCCCCGAAAGCUAUUUAGGUAGCGCCUCGGACGAAUACUACUGGGGGUAGAGCACUGUUAAGGCUAGGGGGUCAUCCCGACUUACCAACCCUUUGCAAACUCCGAAUACCAGUAAGUACUAUCCGGGAGACACACGGCGGGUGCUAACGUCCGUCGUGGAGAGGGAAACAACCCAGACCGCCAGCUAAGGUCCCAAAGUAUUGCUAAGUGGGAAACGAUGUGGGAAGGCUCAGACAGCUAGGAUGUUGGCUUAGAAGCAGCCAUCAUUUAAAGAAAGCGUAAUAGCUCACUAGUCGAGUCGGCCUGCGCGGAAGAUGUAACGGGGCUAAGCAAUACACCGAAGCUGCGGCAAUAUCUUUUAGAUAUUGGGUAGGGGAGCGUUCUGUAAGCCGUUGAAGGUGGAUCGUAAGGUUUGCUGGAGGUAUCAGAAGUGCGAAUGCUGACAUGAGUAACGACAAAGGGGGUGAAAAACCUCCUCGCCGGAAGACCAAGGGUUCCUGUCCAACGUUAAUCGGGGCAGGGUGAGUCGACCCCUAAGGUGAGGCCGAAAGGCGUAAUCGAUGGGAAACGGGUUAAUAUUCCCGUACUUCUGACUAUUGCGAUGGGGGGACGGAGAAGGCUAGGUGGGCCAGGCGACGGUUGUCCUGGUUCAAGUGCGUAGGCUUGAGA